rnacentral:rRNA from 1 species
CCUACGGGAGGCUGCAGUGAGGAAUAUUGGUCAAUGGGCUUACGCCUGAACCAGCCACGUCGCGUGAGGGAAGACUGCUCUAUGGGUUGUAAACCUCUUUUGUCAGGGAGCAACGCCGGCUACGUGUAGCCCGACUGAUAGUACCUGCUGACAAAGCAUCGGCUGACUCCGUGCCAGCAGCCGCGGUAAUACGGAGGAUGCGCGCGUUAUCCGGAUUUACUGGGCGUAAGGGGGGCGCAGACGGCUGUGCAAGCCAGGCGUGAAAGCCCGGGGCCCAACCCCGGGACUGCUCUUGGAACUGCGUGGCUGGAGUGAAGGAGAGGGAGGCGGAAUUCCUAGUGUAGCGGUGAAAUGCGUAGAUAUUAGGAGGAACACCAGUGGCGAAGGCGGCCUGCUGGGCUUUAACUGACGCUGAGGCUCGAAAGUGUGGGGAGCAAACAGGAUUAGAUACCCCAGUAGUC